GUCGCGUGCGCAGUUUCCGUAGCAAUACGGAAAUGGGCGCACGGCGCACGGGUGCGUAACACGUGGGCAAUCUGCCCUCCGAUGGGGAAUACCCCCGCGAAAGCGGGACUAAUUCCGCAUAACAUUCCUUGGAUCAACUUUCGAGGAUUCAAAGCAGCAAUGCGUCGGAGGAGGAGCCCGCGCCCGAUUAGCUAGUUGGUGAGGUAACGGCUCACCAAGGCAAUGAUCGGUAGCUGGUCUGAGAGGAUGGCCAGCCACACUGGAACUGAGACACGGUCCAGACUCCUACGGGAGGCAGCAGUGGGGAAUCUUGCACAAUGGGCGAAAGCCUGAUGCAGCGACGCCGCGUGGGGGAUGAAGCUUUUCGGAGUGUAAACCCCUUUCGACUGGGACGAAUGCCUCGCAAGAGGAGUGACGGUACCAGUAUAAGAAGCCCCGGCUAACUACGUGCCAGCAGCCGCGGUAAGACGUAGGGGGCCAGCGUUGUUCGGAAUUACUGGGUGUAAAGGGUUCGUAGGCGGUGUGGCAAGUCGGGAGUGAAAUCUCUGGGCUCAACCCAGAGACUGCUUCCGAAACUGCUGUGCUUGAGUGUGAGAGAGGCUCGUGGAAUUGCAGGUGUAGCGGUGAAAUGCGUAGAUAUCUGCAGGAACACCCGUGGCGAAAGCGGCGAGCUGGAUCACUACUGACGCUGAGGAACGA
rnacentral:rRNA from 1 species